GCCCAUCGUAGCUCAGUUGGUAGGGCCUGAGACUCAGAAUCUCAGGGUUGUGGGUUCAAGAUCCGCACUGGGCA